rnacentral:rRNA from 1 species
GGGCCCGCACAAGCGGAGGAACAUGUGGUUUAAUUCGAUGAUACGCGAGGAACCUUACCCGGGCUCGAACGCAGGAGGAAUAUGGUGGAAACAUCAUAGCUAGCAAUAGUCGCCUGCGAGGUGCUGCAUGGUUGUCGUCAGCUCGUGCCGUGAGGUGUCGGCUUAAGUGCCAUAACGAGCGCAACCCUUAUCAUUAGUUGCCAGCGAGUCAAGUCGGGAACUCUAAUGAAACUGCCAGCGUAAGCUGUGAGGAAGGCGGGGAUGACGUCAAAUCAGCACGGCCCUUACGUCCGGGGCUACACACGUGUUACAAUGGAUGGUACAGAGGGUAGCUACUUCGCGAGAAGAUGCCAAUCUCUAAAGCCAUUCUCAGUUCGGAUUGGAGUCUGCAACUCGACUCCAUGAAGCUGGAUUCGCUAGUAAUCGCGCAUCAGCCAUGGCGCGGUGAAUACGUUCCCGGGCCUU